GCUGGGUACAGGGGUGCACGCCUGUAAUCCCAGCAGCUUGGGAGGCUGAGGCAGGAGGAUUGCAAGUUAAAGCCAGCCUCGGCAAUUUCGCGAGGACCUAAGCAACUCAGCAAGACCCUGUCUCUA
rnacentral:sRNA from 1 species